rnacentral:rRNA from 1 species
CAUGCAAGUCGAGCGGUAGCACAGAGAGCUUGCUCUCGGGUGACGAGCGGCGGACGGGUGAGUAAUGUCUGGGAAACUGCCUGAUGGAGGGGGAUAACUACUGGAAACGGUAGCUAAUACCGCAUAACGUCGCAAGACCAAAGUGGGGGACCUUCGGGCCUCAUGCCAUCAGAUGUGCCCAGAUGGGAUUAGCUAGUAGGUGGGGUAACGGCUCACCUAGGCGACGAUCCCUAGCUGGUCUGAGAGGAUGACCAGCCACACUGGAACUGAGACACGGUCCAGACUCCUACGGGAGGCAGCAGUGGGGAAUAUUGCACAAUGGGCGCAAGCCUGAUGCAGCCAUGCCGCGUGUAUGAAGAAGGCCUUCGGGUUGUAAAGUACUUUCAGCGGGGAGGAAGGCGAUAAGGUUAAUAACCUUGUCGAUUGACGUUACCCGCAGAAGAAGCACCGGCUAACUCCGUGCCAGCAGCCGCGGUAAUACGGAGGGUGCAAGCGUUAAUCGGAAUUACUGGGCGUAAAGCGCACGCAGGCGGUCUGUCAAGUCGGAUGUGAAAUCCCCGGGCUCAACCUGGGAACUGCAUUCGAAACUGGCAGGCUAGAGUCUUGUAGAGGGGGGUAGAAUUCCAGUGUAGCGGUGAAAUGCGUAGAGAUCUGGAGGAAUACCGGUGGCGAAGGCGGCCCCCUGGACAAAGACUGACGCUCAGUGCGAAAGCGUGGGGAGCAAACAGGAUUAGAUACCCUGGUAGUCCACGCCGUAAACGAUGUCGAUUUGGAGGUUGUGCCCUUGAGGCGUGGCUUCCGGAGCUAACGCGUUAAAUCGACCGCCUGGGGAGUACGGCCGCAAGGUUAAAACUCAAAUGAAUUGACGGGGGCCCGCACAAGCGGUGGAGCAUGUGGUUUAAUUCGAUGCAACGCGAAGAACCUUACCUGGUCUUGACAUCCACAGAACUUAGCAGAGAUGCUUUGGUGCCUUCGGGAACUGUGAGACAGGUGCUGCAUGGCUGUCGUCAGCUCGUGUUGUGAAAUGUUGGGUUAAGUCCCGCAACGAGCGCAACCCUUAUCCUUUGUUGCCAGCGGUCCGGCCGGGAACUCAAAGGAGACUGCCAGUGAUAAACUGGAGGAAGGUGGGGAUGACGUCAAGUCAUCAUGGCCCUUACGACCAGGGCUACACACGUGCUACAAUGGCAUAUACAAAGAGAAGCGACCUCGCGAGAGCAAGCGGACCUCAUAAAGUAUGUCGUAGUCCGGAUUGGAGUCUGCAACUCGACUCCAUGAAGUCGGAAUCGCUAGUAAUCGUAGAUCAGAAUGCUACGGUGAAUACGUUCCCGGGCCUUGUACACACCGCCCGUCACACCAUGGGAGUGGGUUGCAAAAGAAGUAGGUAGCUUAACCUUCGGGAGGGCGCUACCAC